UGGGACGUCGGCAAGCGGUUAAGCCACCGGGUUUUGAUCCCGACAUUCGCAGGUUCGAAUCCUGCCGUCCCAG
rnacentral:tRNA from 1 species